AAGGGUAUAGCUCAGUGGUAGAGUGCGUGCUUAGCAUGCACAGGGUCCUCAGUUCAAUCCCCAGUACCACUG
rnacentral:tRNA from 1 species